rnacentral:tRNA from 1 species
GGGGAUGUGGUCUAGUGGUAUGACGCUUCUUUAGCAUCGAGCCUAGAAGAGGUUCAGGGUUCGAUUCCCUGCUUCUCCA